UUUAUCUGCCUGCGAAACCAACCCGGGGAAAACCUAGCGAUCUCUCCCUCCUCUCUUCUCGACCCACACCGGUAGCGGCCUCCCUGCCGCUCUCCCUCUCUGCCCUCCCUCCUGCGCCUGCGCUGAUGAAGGCUGCCGCCGCGUCCUCCGACUUCCUCUCCCAAGUCUCCUCUCUCGACUCCCGCCUCGCAUCUCGGAGGUCGUCGCCUGGAGGGCGUCAUCACAGCCAUCGCCCGCCUCCCCCAUCUGUGCCAUUGUCCGCCUCCCAAACUUCCGGUGGGUGUGCGGCCGGGGCGGCGGGAGGGAGCUGCUCCCCUGUGCGCUCGCCAAGGCCGCCACCGCCCGCGACUACUUUGCCACGCUCCGCAUCACCACCACCAAUUGGUUGGGGACGGACGAAAGGGGGGCAGAGCCGCCGCGGAUUCGCCUCGUGGCGGGGACGGGACUGCUCACUUGGGGGCUCGCCAAGGCCGUCGACGGCGGGCAUCACAUGUAGACUAGAUCCGUCAGUCUGAGUUCAUUCUAUUGUGUUUUAUAUGUUCUGCAUUCAAAUAGUGUCCAUGUCUAAUUUUUCAUGUCUACGCUCAUGACUGAAUUCAUAGGCGGAUGAUUCAGUGUCCGUGAACCUUUUGCAAGGCAGACUGGUAGGGCUAUGUCAUCCGUACAUUCAGUUACCGUGGAUCACUCUUGCAGUCUCAAGAUAUCUAUGAAGAUCUCGUGACUGGCGAUUUGAGUACGAGGGCGAACCAGAGACCAAGAGAGGAGUUGCACAUGGGCUACCAUGGACAUGAGCAGGAUUAGCGACCAGGGACGUGGAUUUUUUUAAUCCAAUCAUAGGUAUAACCCUAAUUUUACUACAAUAUAAGCAUACAAUAGUUAUUACAGUAUUAAAGCUACCAAUGUGUUGAUGAAACCAUAAGCUAUGACGGAAUUGAUUAAUGCCAUGGUUCAGUGCUCUUUUCACCCUUUGUAUUUGAGGUAUUUGCUGCCGCUUAUGAUCUGUUAAGGAAAGUUGGGUGUUUCCAUCUAGACACCGAACACUUGAGCUCUUGCAUCCUAGAUUAAUUUAGCCUGUUAUGGUCAAGAAAAAAUACGCAUCGAUUGGUGUAUCUUUAAUACAUCAGUAUAGGUGUAUACCCUGUAGAUUGGUUUGAUCACCAUACAAAAUCCAAGUUCCUUGUUGAAAAAGGAAAUACAUAACCCCAUGGAAUUUGGAAAUUGUAGCUUUAAAUAAAUGCGCGAUGAAAUGUCAGUAUGUAAUAUUUUAAUAGUUAUACAGUUGUGUGUUAAUUAUGUAAAGAAAAGCAUCGGGGGAAUUUCUUAAUGGAAACUUCUCUCUGUUAAACGGUAAUCUGUAGCUGCUUGGAGCAAUGCUGUAAUAUAUCUCAUUUGACUUCCUUGCUCUUGCUACUACUGACUUUCGUAUAUUGACUUUCGUAUAUUGUUCAAACUGACAUUUAUAUCUGGUAUGUUUCUCAUACACGUGGCUGCAACGAGGACAUGGUUCCAAUUUACAGGUGGAGUAACCUUGAGUUCCCGCUGCCUUUCGGAAGAGUCAUGAGCCUCUUUCAAAAAGGUUAUAUCCAUGAACUGGAUGAGAAGACAGGUGCAUCACUAAAAUUUAAUGCUCUGAACUUGAAAGGUCGCAUUUGGACACUGAUUGCAGGUGGUGGUGCGAGUGUCAUAUCUGCUGACACAGUAAACUUAACUUUCUUCCAAGUCUUUUAGAUAAGUUCUAAAAGUUAAUUAAGAUGAUAACAGAUCAAUCUUAUUUCCUUGUUCGAGAUUCGGGAUAUGCCGCAGAGCUAGGAUAUUAUGAAGGGUACAGUGGAACUCCCAAAGAGGAGGAGGUUUUGCAAUAUGCUAGAUUGGUUUUGGAUGAAUCCAAAUCAAAGGCUGCAGUGGUGAACAUUUAUGUUUGGAGAGGUGGUCCAAACUGGGGUUGCCAUAAUGUGUGAUCUAGGUUCAGAGCUUGGUCUUCCAAUUGAGGUAUGGUCUCAAGUUCUCUUUGCGGCGUGCAGACAUGCAGCCUACGCCAACGCUCGUCUCUUACCGGUGAGCCGAGCCACGGACAGAUAGGGGGCAGGCGGCGGUGGUGGUCGGAGGAGAAGUGAGACGGACGGCGCUGGAUCGGGGAGGCUGUGGAGGAGCUCAGCAGCAAUGACGAGCAGGUGGAAGGAGAGCAGCAGUAGUGGAGGUGCGUGAAGAAGACUAGAAGAAUGGGGAACCACCUCCGGAUUCAGCGCAAGUUGUCACUCUGAAUCUGCUCCCUCUCAUGGUUGGGAAGACUCCAGAAGGAUUCAUCCGUGUUGUGAUGGGUUGAGGAAGGCGGAGAGGACCUGCGAUUACAGUUUGUUGGGUUCAAACUUCAAACAUAGCAGUGCCAAUGUCGGCGCCUUGGCAAGUGAGUCUCGACGUGAGUGCUGGUGUCAAGGUGACUUCAACGAGCACAUCAGCAGUAGCUGCUGUAUGUGCGGCAAUGGAGGCCUCGAGACUCUGCGUUCCUGUCGGAAGUUCAUCCAUGGCUCCUAGACAGAUGUAGGCCUUGGUUGGAGCAACUUUGCAUGCACAAAAAGCGUGGAACUCGCUCUUGGUGAGGUGAGGACUGCUUACCUGGCAUUAUUGAAAGUACUACUGUAUAGAAUUGUAGCGUGUGUCUCGGUCAAGCUUGAAGGCAUCAAAUGUGUGCAUGGGCACUGUAAUGAUAUGAAGGAGAGCCUUUUUAUUUCCAGCCUGAUCGACUACAUAAAUUCUGGUCCUACUCUGCCUCUCAAAUCUUUGUUGAAAAGGGGACCAUGUUGUGUUUUCUUGCUUAUGGCCUCUUCUCGACAUAUAAUCCUUGGUCUAUAUCACUAAUGUUUAGUACAUCUAUAACUUGGGUAGUUCCCGUACUUCUUAAUUUCAUAAUAUCAUGAACAGGGUGUCUUCGGUACAUUUUGAUAACCGAUAACUGACAAGUUCUCAAGGUCAAUGCUUUUGAUAGUGUUUAUUUUAUUCCUACAUAUCCUGGCCUCUGUUUCUUGUGUGGCCUGGAUUUA